CCCCCAGCGACCAUGCGAACGAUCUUCAUCAAUGGUAGAGCCUCCGAUAUGUUCGCUACCUGCGUCAUCCAACCCAUCGAUAUCAUCAAGUUUUGUCGUCAUGGCCUCCAAGAGCAUCUUGAAGGAGCUUAAGGAUUUGCAGAAGGAUCCUCCCACUUCCUUCAGCACAGGUUCUGUGGCUAAGGACAUGUUUCAUUGGCAAGCAACGAUUAUGGGAUCCCCUGAUAGCCCAUAUGCUGGAGAUGUAUUCCUUGUCACCAUUCAUUUCCCUCCUGACUAUCCUUUCAAACCACCU